ensembl:lncRNA
GGAAAUGUUAUGCUGAAGUACUGAAAUUCCCAAGAAACAAAUGGUUCUCAGAAUGUUUUGUGCUAUAUGGGUAUCCUGCAGUAUUCCCAGAACAUGGUGGGAAGGUUGUAUGAAAAACCACUCGCCAGGCUCUAAGAAACAUGGUUCUCAGAACAUUAUACGCUAGCUGGGAAAUCAGCACACCUAGUUUUAAGGGCCGGCUGGAGAGUUCAAAGAAAACAGGGAAGAACACCAAGUCUUACUACUCAAAGACAAAGGAAAAAGAAAACCGAAAGGAAUGGAGAAGGAAACUGAAAAAAAGAGGCACCGAUUCACCCCUGGAGAUGAGGAUCUUAUUAUUUCAGGGGUACUUGGGCACUGGGAGGACCUCUUCGGCGCCCAGGCCCACAUUCGCCCCCGGGGGUCAAAGACUGCAACCUGGAACACCAUCGCUGGGACCUUGACCUCGGCUGUGGCGAGAUGUGGUGACGAUGUCCGGAAGAAAUACAAUCUCAUAAGGAGCCAAAUCAAGCAAAAGGUUUCUUCUAUCCGGACAUGGUCCACCCAGACUGGUGGGGGGCCCAACACCGUGCCGGCGCUGACCGACCUGGAGCAGCAACUUUUCUCCCGAAUGGCAGAGACCGAAGCUGGUGUAGGGCCUGUUGAUUUGGGAUUUGGUCUCUCUCAGGGAGAAAUCUCCAGCUCUGGUCCCCCACCAGCAGCAGAGGGAACUGUGGAGGCAGCUUUACCCUCUGUCACCAUGGAGGAGCUACCCUCCACCUCACCAUCAACACCUUGGCCAGCACCAACAGUGCCACCCCAACCCAUCACCUCCCGUCCUGCACCAGCUCACUCAAUCCACUCUCAAUCAAUGAAUCAAAUUUAUUUUAUAAAGCCCUUUUUACAUCAGCAGUUGUCACAAAGUGCUUUACAGAUACCCAGCCUGAAACCCCAAAUAGCAAGCAAUGCAGAUGCACUCUCUGGCACCGCACCCCAACCCAUCACCUCCUGUCCUGCACCAGCUCAUUCCAUCCACUCUGGCUUUGCUCCCCAACCCAUCACCUCCUGUCCUGCACCAGCUCAUUCCAUCCACUCUGGCUUUGCUCCCCAACCCAUUACCUCCUGUCCUGCACCAGCUCAUUCCAUCCACUCUGGCUUUGCUCCCCAACCCAUCACCUCCUGUCCUGCACCAGCUCAUUCCAUCCACUCUGGCUUUGCUCCCCAACCCAUCACCUCCUGUCCUGCACCAGCUCACUCCAUCCACUCUGACUCUACACCCCAACCCAUCACGUCUGGCUGGACACCACAAGGCCCCCAAGCCAAUCUGCUCCAACAAAUCCUGGAGACACAAACGCAACAAAUCCAUGUUACACAGACCGCCCAGCACAUCCACCAAGCUCUUUAUGAUUUAUUAGAAAAAGCACAUGAAACACAGAAGGCACACCUGGAUGUGGAGAAGAACCGGCUCCAGCUGGAUAGAGAGCGCUUGAGGGUGGAGACAGAGCGCCUGCAGGUGGAGAGGGAGCGCCUCAAGAUGGAGAAGGAUCGCCUGGGGGAAGGGGAGGCGCUUCGGCAGCUCUCUGUCUCUGGGUCAGUCGCCCUAGAACACCAGACGCCUGUGAGUUCAAGAACUGUCAGUGCCUCCCCCACCCUUCCUCUGGGAACACCAUCAGCCUCCAUGUCCAGUCCCCUCACAUUAAUAUCACCUACUGCACCACACUUUGAUUUCUUAUUUUCCCCAUUCCCAUUACCGGUAAUCACAACCCAUUCCACCCAGCCAUCACAAACCAGCCCUGCCUCAACCUCCCCUGACUUAACCAGCCCUGCCCCAACCUCCCCUACCUUAAAAAUUCCUGCCUCAACCUCUCCUACCUUAACCAGCCCUGCCCCAACCUCUCCUACCUUAACCGUUUCUGCCCACUCUCUCAUCCCUCCAAUCUCCGGAUCUGUUAAACGGCGAGUUCAGGAGACAGUCCGGCCUUGGCCUGGACCCACUGCCAAGAAUACAAAACACCAAUAAACAAAUGUAAUAAAAUACAA